rnacentral:rRNA from 1 species
UGGGGGAUAUUGCGCAAUGGGCGAAAGCCUGACGCAGCGACGCCGCGUGGGUGAUGAAGGCCUUCGGGUCGUAAAGCCCUGUCGAGGGGAAAGAAACGGUUCCGACCCAACACGUCGGGAUCCUGACGGUACCCCUAAAGGAAGCACCGGCUAACUCCGUGCCAGCAGCCGCGGUAAUACGGAGGGUGCGAGCGUUGUUCGGAAUCACUGGGCGUAAAGGGCGUGUAGGCGGCCCGCUAAGUCUGAUGUGAAAGCCCGGGGCUCACCCCCGGAAGUGCAUUGGAAACUGGCGGACUCGAGUCCCGGAGAGGAGAGUGGAAUUCCUGGUGUAGCGGUGAAAUGCGUAGAUAUCAGGAGGAACACCGGUGGCGAAGGCGGCUCUCUGGACGGUGACUGACGCUGAGACGCGAAAGCGUGGGGAGCAAACAG